rnacentral:rRNA from 1 species
UACGAAGGGGGCUAGCGUUGCUCGGAAUUACUGGGCGUAAAGGGCGCGUAGGCGGGUCGUUAAGUUAGAGGUGAAAGCCCAGGGCUCAACCCUGGAAUUGCCUUUAAUACUGUCGACCUUGAGUAUGGCAGAGGUGUGUGGAACUCCGAGCGUAGAGGUGAAAUUCGUAGAUAUUCGGAAGAACACCAGUGGCGAAGGCGACACACUGGGCCAUUACUGACGCUGAGGCGCGAAAGCGUGGGGAGCAAACAGG